rnacentral:rRNA from 1 species
UACGUAGGGUGCGAGCGUUAAUCGGAAUUACUGGGCGUAAAGCGUGCGCAGGCGGUUCGUCAAGUCUGAUGUGAAAGCCCCGGGCUCAACCUGGGAACUGCAUUUGAAACUGGCGGGCUUGAGUAUGGCAGAGGGGGGUGGAAUUCCGCGUGUAGCAGUGAAAUGCGUAGAGAUGCGGAGGAACACCGAUGGCGAAGGCAGCCCCCUGGGCCAAUACUGACGCUCAGGCACGAAAGCGUGGGGAGCAAACAGG